rnacentral:rRNA from 1 species
GCAUAAUCACUUGCCGAUUAAUUGUCGGCUAGAAUGAACGAUUAAACGAAAUGACAACUGUCUCCUACUAUAACAUAAAAAUUAAUCUUCUAGUGAAGAAGCUAGAAUAAACUCACAGGACAAGAAGACCCUACAGAGCUUAAUUUAUAGAUAUUUCAUAAAAAUAUUAAACAAUUUAGUUGGGGCGACUAAUGGAUACCAAACACCAUUAAAUAAAAAGAUCUACCAAUCAAUCAAAAGAUCCUAAAUUUUAGAUCAAAGAUAAAGCUACCUUAGGGAUAACAGGCUUAUUGUUUUAGCGAGAUCAAAUCAACAAAACAGA